rnacentral:misc_RNA from 1 species
UUAAGUUCAGCGGGUAAUCCUGCCUGAUCUGAGGUCUAAAUCAAAAAUGACUAGAUGGGUUGGAAGCUUCUAGCUUUUUCAUUCUCGGCCACUAAGUAAAUAGUGUCCUCAGCGAAUAGUCUAUUACGCUGAGUCAAUCCGAUUACGAAAUUGAGAUGCUAAUGUAUUACGAGCGAGCUUAAUGAAAAGCAGCGCUCAAA